GGCGGCAUGCCUAACACAUGCAAGUCGAACGAACCCUUCGGGGUGAGUGGCUGCACGGGUGCGUAACGCGUGGGAACCUGCCCUUAGGUUCGGAACAACAGUUAGAAAUGACUGCUAAUACCGAAUAAUGUCUUCGGACCAAAGAUUUAUCGCCUUUGGAUGNGGCCCGCGUUGGAUUAGCUAGUUGGUGGGGUAAAGGCUCACCAAGGCGACGAUCCAUAGCUGGUCUUAGAGGAUGAUCAGCCACACUGGGACUGAGACACGGCCCAGACUCCUACGGGAGGCAGCAGUGGGGAAUAUUGGACAAUGGGCGAAAGCCUGAUCCAGCAAUGCCUGCGUGAGUGAUGAAGGCCUUAGGGCUUGUAAAGCUCUUUUACCCGGGAUGAUAAUGACAGUACCGGGAGAAUAAGCCCCGGCUAACUCCGUGCCAGCAGCCGCGGUAAUACGGAGGGGGCUAGCGUUGUUCGGAAAUACU
rnacentral:rRNA from 1 species